rnacentral:rRNA from 1 species
AUACGUAGGUGGCAAGCGUUGUCCGGAUUUAUUGGGCGUAAAGCGCGCGCAGGCGGCUAUGUAAGUCUGGUGUUAAAGCCCGGGGCUCAACCCCGGUUCGCAUCGGAAACAGUGUAGCUUGAGUGCAGAAGAGGAAAGCGGUAUUCCACGUGUAGCGGUGAAAUGCGUAGAGAUGUGGAGGAACACCAGUGGCGAAGGCGGCUUUCUGGUCUGUAACUGACGCUGAGGCGCGAAAGCGUGGGGAGCAAACAGGAUUAGAUACCCUGGUAGUCCACGCCGUAAACGAUGAGUGCUAGGUGUUAGGGGUUUCAAUACCCUUAGUGCCGCAGCUAACGCAAUAAGCACUCCGCCUGGGGAGUACGGUCGCAAGACUGAA